AGAGGUGGAGCAAGUCUGCUGAAGCGAAUCAAGGAUGAUAAAAACUUAAAUUUCUUACCAUUCUCAAGAAGUCUGUGUUCUAGAGGUUUCUAGAGCUCAUUGACUCCAUUGGAAGCAAACCCACCUGAUCAGAAUUCUGGAUUCUGGUUCGUCUGACCUGUAUUUGAGAAUUCUGACAGUAUACUUUGUUUUAUAAAUAAAGAAGGAUUUUAAAAAAACCUUAUCUUACAAAAACUGUGACCUAAUGGCAAUAAUUACCUCAAAUGUGGGCAUUCAUCUUGGUUUUAGCCUUUUUUAAAAACAAACAUGUAGCCAGUUUGAAUUUGGGAUUUAAAAAAUAAAUUAUACUGUCUAUAUGCACAGGAAAAAAAUGUCCAUCCCAGUCAUUGUUGCUUAAGUGAUUCUUUAAAAAUUAUGAAACCAAGGAUUAAAUUACUCUUUUAUGGUUUUUUAAGUAAUUGUAAUGUUAAAGUGCACAUGUAAUUAUAUAUGUUUAUAGCUACUGUAAAAUGCUUCGGCCUCGAAGAUAUUUAAUGAAUCACAUUUUAAACCAAUAUGAACCGAACAAUAGACUGUGGCUACUUAAAAAGAUUUCUGGCUACAUUUUCUAGUGAUAGUGUUUUAUAGUUUACAUUUAAACUGGUACUUUCUAACUAUAAAUGUUCUGUUUUUGACUAUAUCUUCAGAAUUUCUGCUAUCCCUUUAUGUUUUCAUUUUGCCCUUAAAAAAGCUUAAAAGUGUGUCUUCAGUAUGUAUAUUCUGUUCUGAGAUAUAACAUAGUAUUAGAAAGUCAGAUCAGAUACAACAAUUCCAAAGUUAAGGGGGUAAAAACAAAUCACUCCAUGCAUGAUGAAAAUAUAGCAAAUAGAGUCCCAAACCUGACCUAUUUAUUUGUUUUUAAGUUAAGAAAAAAACUCUUUGGGAUAAAUCAGGAAGCACAACAAUUCCUAUUUAUGUAUUCCGUUUUAAGAUCCUAACUUGAACAGAAAUACUUGUCUGAUGAAGACAAAAGGAUAUUCAGAGCAAGAGAUGUGGCUGAGUGACUCAGGGCGAGUUCUCACAGAGAGAUUGUUGUGUGUUUAUGAGCGCUAUAAUCAUGUAAUGUGGAAUUCAUGUUCUUGGAAGGAUCUCGUGGAUAAUGGCAAUCAUGGAUCAUAAGGUGCACCUUUGAAAAUCUCGGAAGCACUGCACUUGGGACGUCUCAUCCCACAUGCCCAGUGUCAAUCAUUUGGCAGCUAGACAUGUGGAAAACUCUUAGUGCAAGAAUACUCAGUAGCACCUCAUGUGCGUAUCAGGAAUGCUGCACUCCCACGUGCAGUAGGGAAGGCUGUUUGGGAAGUCCUUCCAGAAUAAAGCUGUUGUUCCUGAGACAGUUAAUCUGUGGAUUGCUUUGGGAGACAAUGAGAGGCAGACCUAUAAUUUGGUUUUUGUGUGGUUUUAUUCUCUCUAGAUCAACUUUUUAACUUAUCACUCUUCAUCCACUUUGAGCCCCUAAAUUAAAUUAUAAAGAACUUGACCUGCUCCUUGUAAAUUUAAUUUGCCUGCUAGCCAAUGAACAGUAUGGUAGACGCUGUUUCCGUAUUACAGAUUGUAGUGUAUUAUGUGUUUGGAUGUAAAUUGGGGGGGGGGGGGUUGUGUGUGUGUUUGUUACUUUCUUUUAGUCCUACUUAAAUGUAUGAUGGGUUUUUUUCCCUUAACGUCAAGUAACCAAUGAAUAUAUAUGGAAAUGUUGUGCUGAGCAAAGACAAUAAAUUGGCACAAAAAAGAAUUCUGUCUGAAGAGCUGAGCUUCACUAUGGAGCUGACAAUCUCAGCAAAAUUCCUUGCCUUGUUCAUGAGUUACUACUAAGGAAAGGAAGCAAGACAUUGCUGUUAAGCCCUGAUUAUUUUUAACUAAAUAAAUCUUUUCACUGUAUUCAAUGGGACUUCCCCCAGCCCCUUUAGAACAUCCAUUGAAAGCCAUGGUCUUCACAUGAAAGCUCACAUUACCAAAGUGAUAACUUGGCAUAUGGCCGAGUCACCAUUUUGAAAGCCAAAUGGAAGGCUGGCUCAGAGGGUAGGCCUUAAAAGAAUUGGAAGAGGGCCCUUAGGCACAGUUAAGAGCAACUAAACCUUGAAUUGCCCUUAGCAACCCUCUUGUUCUUCCUUCUAUAUCAAAGUUAGGCCUGGAAAUAUUGGCUUGUUCCAGCGUAGGAACUACAGAUUUGUUUGUUAAGCCUGGGCUUAGAGUUUAUACAGCACAAAAGUUUUUUAAAAAAAAAUAGCAAAUCCAUAUUCUGUAGAUUCAGUAGGGUUACAUAUAGCACCCCUAUCCUCAUGAGUAGGACCUCCCAGGCUUCUACUUUGGCAUAGUUACCACACUUCUUUCCUGUUGUUCUCUCUGUUGAGUUCAACUAUUUUUCAAGUGAUGUUUCCAUGGCUAUUCUAAGGCACAGCCAUUUGAGGUACAGAAAUUAUCUCCUCAACUCUUUGCUUCACCAGCUAAGUAAAUAUAUGAGGCAUUUUCUGUGCCAAAAUUUUACAGACAGAAUUGGAAUGUAUAAACUGUAAAUUUGAUACCAAAACCAGAUUUUUUUUAUUCAAAAAGGAAGGCAAUAGCUUUAUUAGAAAGGGGAGAAAGAAAGGACUAUCUUGGCAGUUAGAAUCUGUAGUGUGGUAGUUAAAGAAUACAAACAAGGGGAGGGAUUUGUGAAUAUCUGGAUCUUUUUGAAACAUAACUGAAGGAAUGUUCUAUACCUGCAUAUUGCCCGUAAAUACAAUAUUAUAUGAAUGGGAAGGACAUAUACUUCAGACAAUUUUUUUUAAAGAAAAGAGAGUGUGACGAUCUCAACAUAGUUUCCCAAGUACAAAGAAACAUCUCUCUACCCUAUCACCUGAGUAAUACCUUGAAGCAUUUUGUUUUCUAUACACAGAAUCAUCUCAGUUCAAAAACCCCACGAAAGCCCUGAUUGGUUGUAUUCUUUCACUGUAUGGUUCUGUAUUAAGAGUGUUAAUCCAUGUUAAAACUUCGUGAAAAUUAUCGUGUACAACAGUAUUUUCUUGUGUACUUUCCCCCCCGUGAAUUGUCCCCUUUUUCUUUUCUUUUUUGUUCUUUUAUUAUUAUUUUUUUCCUUCUGGUAAUGUCUUUGAAAAAAAAGCAGAAAAGAAACUGAUGUGUUGUAGAACUAUAUGUAACCUAUCCUUAGUCACAUAUUAUAGGUAUGUUAUAAGAAUGGAUAUUUUACUUGGCUUUAGAAUGUUUUACAAAAAAAAAAAUCCUAAUUCUUAACCAAUCAAGUUCUUGCUACUAAAAAAAAAAUUGCUUGUGUUUCUCAUCAUGACGUUGUGUGCUUCUAAUUAAUAAUCAUUUUCGUUGUAGAAAAAUGGAGUGAAUUUAUAUUAGACUUGAAAACUAAUAAUAGCAUUGUAAAUUUAUGAGAUGAUUUUAACAGAAAAGAAACCUUAUAGAAGAAUAUAGUUAUUUUAAUUGUAAUAUUACUAACUGUAGGGUGAGAAAGGGGAUCCCAUUGUGGUGAACUAUGUUAUAGCUUGUUAUUCACAGUUUCUUUUUGAUCAUUUUUUCGGUCUCUGAGGUGAAACGAGUUAUUAAUCAGAAUUUGUAAACUCACAUAUGCAUAUUGUAUAUGUGUAGAAAUGUAAUCACACUUUGUCUUGGAAUUACAUUAAACUGUUUUGAGUCACUGCA